GACGCAGGGGGCUAGCGUUGCUCGGAAUCACUGGGCGUAAAGCGCACGUAGGCGGCUUCUUAAGUCAGGGGUGAAAUCCUGGAGCUCAACUCCAGAACUGCCUUUGAUACUGGGAAGCUUCGAGUCCGGAAGAGGUGAGUGGAACUGCGAGUGUAGAGGUGAAAUUCGUAGAUAUUCGCAAGAACACCAGUGGCGAAGGCGGCUCACUGGUCCGGUACUGACGCUGAGGUGCGAAAGCGUGGGGAGCAAACAGG
rnacentral:rRNA from 1 species